ACUCCAGCCUACGUGACAGAGCGAGACUCCGUCCCAAAAAUAUAAAAAUAAAAUAACAAAGAAACGUGUGCAGGACUCAGCUGGUCGCACCCCUUUGCAGGCCAGCUGUGCCGAGAGCUGAAUCUGUCUUAUGGAGCACAGUGAAUUUGGGCUUGGAAUCACUCAGAGUGCUGGGUUCCACGCGUGGCUCUGUCAUUUACUGUCUCAAUAGCAACUUCCUCAUCUGGAAUAUGGGACAGUAACACUUGGCUUCCUGUGAUAAUGAAAAUGAAGCAAUAUAUGUAAAUAUUUAGCCAGGGUGGGUUUACUGUAAGUUCUUGGCAUAUGGUUCUGCCUCAAAAUAUAGGGGAUGAACAUGCAUGGCAGAUGUACAAGAUACACUUCCCACGCUUGUUUGCAUUUUUCUUUCUCUAAGUAUUUCCACAGUGACAUGCCAAGUCAAGAAGACUGCUAUUAACCCAAGAACCCGGGGUGUGGCCUGGCCUGGGAUUAUUAGGAGGAGCGAAUAAAUGUCAUGGGGCCUGGGGGCAGUCCUGGACUGGGCUCUGCAGCCAUGGGGCAGGAGACAAGGACCACUCAGCAUUUCUGGAACAAAUUGGUGCUCUGCGAACUCACUUUCUAGUCCCAAUCAAUGGCAGUGAAUCUUGUGGAUGAGAGACCCGGAGCAGAGACAGCCCCAGCAGCCAGCCAGCCAGCACUGUCACCAGACACGUGAAUGAAGCUACCUUAGAGCAUCCAGCCAGCAUCCUGCCUAACUGGUGGGAUCAGCAGAACAGCCCAGAAAACCCCAUCCCUGAUUGCUGACCAUGGAGUACACAAAUAAAACGGUGAUUAAAAAUAAA